rnacentral:rRNA from 1 species
GAUGAACGCUGGCGGCGUGCCUAAUACAUGCAAGUCGAGCGAACAGACGAGGAGCUUGCUCCUCUGACGUUAGCGGCGGACGGGUGAGUAACACGUGGAUAACCUACCUAUAAGACUGGGAUAACUUCGGGAAACCGGAGCUAAUACCGGAUAAUAUAUUGAACCGCAUGGUUCGAUAGUGAAAGACGGUUUUGCUGUCACUUAUAGAUGGAUCCGCGCCGCAUUAGCUAGUUGGUAAGGUAACGGCUUACCAAGGCAACGAUGCGUAGCCGAACUGAGAGAGUGAUAGGCCACACGGGAACUGAGACACGGUCCAGACGCCUACGGGAGGCAGCAGUAGGGAAUCGUACGCAAUGGGCGAAAGCCUGACGGAGCAAGGCCGAGUGAGAGAUGAAGGUGUUCGGAUCGUAAAACUCUGUUAUGAGGGAAGAACAAAUGUGUAAGGAACUAUGCACGUAGUGACGGUACCGAAUCAGAAAGCCACGGCUAACUACGUG